rnacentral:lncRNA from 1 species
AUUUUCACCAACCUUUGGUCAUGUCAAUAUUUUUAAUUUUAUCUGUUUGACUGGGUGUGUAGUUGUGGCAUUGUGAUUUAAUUUGCAUAUUUUUGGUGGCUAGGCUAAAGAUAUUGAGCAAUUUGCCUUUGAUUCUUGUCGCUGCUCUGAACCGUAUGUGUCCACAGUCAAACGGGAAUGCAGAUCCAGCCCUUCAACAAUCCAUGGUUGGCUGCAAUGAAACAAGGCAGAACUGCACAAGCUGCAUAAGGAACAAAAGUCUGCAUUUCUGGAGAUGCCGUGGAAACAGGUCAGGAAGGCUUAACUCAUGUUAAGAAACGCCUGGGAAAUGGUAAAAUGCAGUCUGAGAUGCUCAAGGGGAUCAAAAUCAAUUUAUAUGAAUCAAGGUACUUACUAUGUGUGAGACAUUGUGCCAAAGUUGAAAUUCAUGUGUUUUAGUUACUUUCUGAUUGUUAAGUCAUAAUACUGAACACCCAUAAUUUAAAGGAGGAGAGGUUUAUUUUGGC